AGCGAUUAGAAAACGUUGUAAAAACGACGAGCUGUACAGCGGUAUAAUAUUAUACCUGCACAUACCUAGGUUAUAGUUUGUACUAUUGAACAAUGGACGAGUUUUAAAUAUUAAAAUGUACAUCACACAUUGCUGUUUGAAGAACUAUUAAUACGAAAUUUCUGGCUGAACUUGAAAAUGCAAUAAUUAUUGUUAUAAUUCACACCUCAUACGCAUAAGAUUGUUAUUAUCAAUCCAUGCGCAGGAAUGACAUUUUGUUUUUGAAAAGAAAAUUUAACGAUACCGGCGAAAGUGACGCAUUCCGCGGUGAAACAAGAUGACAACUGACGGCGGUGAUCAUUAUAUGGAGCCAGGAGCAUCAUAUUUUUCAAAAGUCAUUUGAUGAAAAAAAGAAGUUGGUAUCGCUACAGCUCACUCUUUCAAUACUAUAAAAUACUUACUAUAUCAAUUGUAUCGUCAAAAUGUCGAGAAGGAUCAACGGUACCUAUGAGUAUCACGCGUGCGUUGACAAACAAGACGGACGCAUCGAAAUAUUUGUCGCAACACUGUUUAAUGUUACGGUAAAGUUAUUACUUGUUUACAUUGAGUUUUUGAUUUUAAUGAUGCCGCAACAAUAUAUGGUAAACUGCGCACGCAGCAAUGCAGAACACUCUUUUUAGCUUCUGACAAAUAUAUCGUCGAAAAUAAUAUAAGUGCUUGAAUUAUUAUUACACUCCACGUGCGUUGCUUUGCAGAGAACAAUGUGCAUAUUCUUAUGCUAUUACGACUUCCAAAUAAUACACUCUGAACCACCUUAUACAAAGAAACCUUAAAACGCAAUAAUGAAUCCCUACAAAUUUAAUUUUGUGUUCUAAAA